rfam:Arabidopsis thaliana chromosome 1, complete sequence.
AAUUGGCUUUAGCUAGGAAGCAACAAAAAUCAAUCAGAUUGUUCUGAUCUAUCUGACUUGAGGUCUUUUUGAUUAGGAGCUUUGCUUUACUUUUAAAUCAAGAUGUUCCUAAUUAAGCAGCGUCAGACAUUA